CUGUCCGUCUGGAGGUUCAUCAGCGGAUUCCUGUUCAGCAGCGCUCCUCCUGCUCCUGCUCCACCCGCCGCCCAGAACGCAUUUGGCUCCGGCUCCGGCGCCGCCGCAGAACCAAAGAGAGAUGCGGUUCGUAAGAGGGUUCUUGAGAAGAGGCCUGAGGACUUCAAGAAAGAUGGGAAAAUAUACCGGCUACGGACUCAAGAAGACAACGAGGACGACAACAACACGUGGAACGGGAACUCCACGCAGCAGAUGUAGCGCGGCCAGCCUCUGUGCUUUGAGUGUGUGUCAGUCUUAACGGUGGGUUGAUCAUUUAGGGCUGAUUUCCUCGCCUUCCCUCCGGCUCCACCGCAUGGGUAAAUCAGAUCAGGUUAGCUAACUCGCUUUAACAGGCACUUCAGCCAGGACGACUGCAGGCUGGAGAAACACAGGUUCCAGGCUUUGAUGCAUCUGUCAUCGCCAGCAUUGAUUUAAUACAGUGACCGCCGCUGUGAAUGCGGUCUGUUGUGAAUAUCCGAGGGUUUGUGGCGUUUUAUAUGGUGGUUUAACCCCACAGCGUCAUAAACCGCCUCGGCAACAGAAUGUCUUUCUACUAGUUUGAGCACAGAUGCUACUUGAUCCUUUAACGAUAGAAUAAAAGAUGUUUUUCAAUGAAACGCUUCGACUGCAGUCAUUCUUCUCUUUUGAUUUUGUGCUUCUGUUUAAUCUUCUAGAACUGUCUGUGUUUUCAUUAAUGCGUACAAAUUUAUUAAUCGUGACAAUCGUUUGCAAAAAUUAAUCUGGUUACUAUUAUCUGUUGUACUCCGUGUGAUCAUGUUUUGUGAUUCAUAUUAAAGGUAGAAGUAUUUUGGGUUCUCAUUCUUUUACUGUAUCAUUUGUGCGGUUUCUUAAAGAGUUAUGAGUUCUGCUUCAGGACGAUGCUCACCUCACGGAGAUCAGAAGGUCAGUCCAGGCAGAUUACAAAUGUGUUUAUUAGCAUUAUAAAUGUUCAGAUAGAAGCAAACAUUUGUGUAUCAAAGUUUCAUACGCUCAGAAUGAAGUGCAGCUCAUUCUCCGGUAGGGCUGUCAACUGAUUAAUGAACAAAAGUAAUGCAGUAAAAAUGAUACUCAUAAUGCUCCUCUUUUAGUAAUGGGAAACACUUUUUAAAAACAAAGCACGAGAGCAUGUGGCAGCGGGCGAUGAAAGCAUAACAGAGGUCAGUGAUGGUUGAUUAUAAGACUAUAUUCACUUCUAAAGACCACUGUUGUCUGUUCAGUGGUUUACUCGUGUCACACUGAGACCGUUCACACGAAUAUGAACAUUCUGUUCCAAACCUGUGUGAGUUUCUUUCUUCUAUUGAACACAGAAGAAGAUAUUUUGAAGAA